GGUUGUGUAGUGUAGUGGUUAGCACUAUCGGUUUUGAGAUCUACUCGUCUCCGAUCAACCUGGGUUCGAACCCCAGCACGACCU
rfam:TPA: Aspergillus nidulans FGSC A4 chromosome VIII